CAGGGCUCGAACCUUGGACCUUCUGCGUGUAAAGCAGACGUGAUAACCACUACACUACGAGAGCCAAAUGAUACAUAUAGAUGCAUAGUUGGCAACAGAUAUACAGGGCUCGAACCUGGGACCUUCUGCGUGUAAAGCAGACGUGAUAACCACUACACUACGAGAGCUGGAUGAUACAUGUUGAUGCAUAUUUGGCCACAGAUGUGCAGGGCUCGAACCUGGGACCUUCUGCGUGUAAAGCAGACGUGAUAACCACUACACUACGAGAGCCAAAUGAUUCAUAUAGAUGCAUAGUUGGCAACAGAUAUACAG